AUGGCCAGAGACUGAUUAUGUGACUUUAAAGUGAUGUGAUGACUACACGUUUCUGUAACGCUUCCUAUGCGCUCUGUUUCCGGAGUCAGCAUUUCUGUGGGCGACAUAGAGGAAAAAGCAAGGCGCUAAGCCCAGGUUUUGUGGACGAAUGGAAGGAGCAGCAGUCACUGCAGCUCCCCGCAGACUGUUGAAAAUUCGGACCCCAGAUUCACACAGACAGCAUCCUCCUUCCAACCAUAACUGCUAUCAGUAGGGAUGUGUAAUAGAUGAAAUGCCAGAGAGAAAUGCUUUCAUGCUGCCUCGCUCCUGCAUCGACUGCCAUGCGUCGUUACAAGGCAGAGUCCUGGCUUGGUACAUGAGAAACUCCCAGCCUUUCAUGGUCCUGAAUUGAGAUGAGGAUACUCACGCUGUCUGGAAACCAGGCUGAGUCAGCAAAAUCGCGCCCUGCACCUGCAAACUGGGAUCUGCGGUCUGAAUCCUCCAGUGCAAGAGAGAAUAAUUUCAUUCAAAUGCGAACAACAAGCCAGCCGGAGCCUAUUCUGAGCCCGUGGAGCCAUCUGGUUCGUUUGCAUACCUGCAGAAAUUUUCCUAAAGACCAGGCCAGCUGAGCAAAGUUCUGAGCAUCAGGGAAAAAAGAUGGGACGCUUUUUAUUCUACCAUUUAGCUCCCUGUAACAGAAAGCAUUGGAGUCAGUGGAGUCUUGACCCCUGCCACAUGACAUUACUUCCCAGCCAAAAGCAAAUGCAACCAGUCUCCCUUGCCAGCACUCCUGUGUGUCACAUCUUCAUUGUACCCAAAACCUGCUUGAUGAAACAGCCCCAGAAAAGGACAAUGGAACAGACCUGGGGCUGAUUAAACUGGGCUUAGCUCUUCCACAUAAUGAAUGAAAAUCGUUGGACUUUAUUUCCUUCCUAUAAUUAGAAGUGGACAUACUGAAUUAACCCCCAAAGUCUGGUAUGUUUUGAUACCCUUCCAUUGCACUCCUUCGUUGUUACUUCCUGCUGAUUCAUGGAUACCUAAUAAUGAUUUUAAUAUUGAGUGUUGGUGAAAAGUGCUGCAUUAGCACCCCUGGAGCCUCAAGGCCACUUCUAUGGACUCACUUCUGCCUUGAUGCCCAAAAGACAUGGAAACAAAUCACACAAAAUCCAUCACUCCAAGUUCCUCCUGCCGCUGGUCUUCCCAAUGUCCAUCUUCUCGGUUUGUAAAUUUGAGACUGUGCACAUUCUGGGGCAGGAGCGACCUUCAUUUUGUGCCACGUAAGCUCCAAGUAUAUUGCCAGUGCUUAAAAACAAUAAGUGAGAGUACCUAGUGGGUACAGCACCCAGUACAAACUUCAUCUUGUUCUGCAUGGCACCUCUCCCUCAGCCUUCAGAGGCAACCUCUAGACAUGAGGAAGGUAGUUCAGACUCUGUUCCCAUUCAGUCCUUGGCCUCUCUGCUGACACUGCCAAAUAGUACAAACCAUGGUGAUAGCCAUUGUGAAGCCACCAAACCAGUUCUGCCUGGGGCACUGUAUGGCCACCAGAUUGUGACAACAGUCAGUUACUACCAACCCAGGCUGGAUUCCAAUCCAGGGCCGCCCGGGGGGGGGGGACAAGUGGGGGCAAUUUGCCCCAGGCCCCGGGCCCCACAGGGGCCCUGCGAGCUCUGGCCCAGGGGCGGUCCAGGUCUUCGGCAUUUUUCAGUGGCGGGGGGUCCUUCAGUGCUGCCGAGGACGCGAAGCAACUGAAGGGCCCCCCGCUGCUGAAAUGCCGCCGAGUGAGUACAAGCACCGCAGCUCCCCCGCUUUGCCCCAGACCCCUGUUCCAAUCAGUGAGCUGCAGGUGGAAGCCUUGGUAUUCCAUUUCCAAUCGCACUAAUCUGGCCUGGCCAGCCAUCAAAAGAAGAAGAACUACUGAGCAUUUCACAUGUGCUUUUUGGAGGGGGAAGUAGGAGUGGGGGAGUGGUGCCCUCCUUUUCCCACCUGUCUGCACCUGUUGACAGCAAGGAUAUUAAGUCCAGUGGCCAAUAUAUCAGGUGCCUCAAUUUUUGGGAUGCCUGACCUAAGACAUUGCAAAACAGCUUGAUUUCCAGUGGGUGAGUGCUUGAAGCAGGCUGAAAAUUUGGUCCCUGUAUGGUAUCUAAAGUUCAGCAUCCAAAUAUUUAGGCACCCACAAUCAUUAGUUGCUUUAAAAAAAUCUUAUCCAUGCAUAUCUAUAGACAAUACAUUUCUAUCCCAAAUAACAGAACAGAGACCAUGCCAUCAGCAUUAACCUCUGUAUGACUACUUGCAGCCAGGGCAAGAAGCAGGAAGUAUGGGUCAUGGUGAACAUGAAUUAUGUCUCUUUAUUAAAGUGAGUUUAGCAUUCAAAAAAGAAAGCCAGAUCAUCAGCAUUGGACACUGGAGCUUCUGCUUAUCCACACAGCAAGUUUCCCCAAUGCAGCCCCUCCAGUGGGCUCAUCCUAUAACGUGUGGAGGUCCCUCCAGAGGGAGCUUAGUGACUGAUAGAAUAAAGCUAAGGUGGGUGCUAAUGAUUAUCUCAUGAUCUAGCGCUCUGGGCCCCUUAUUGAUCCUCUCAUCUGUCUAGCCCCUCAAAUGAAUUGACUCCUCAUUUGACACUAGCUCUUUUGCCUUCUGCCAAUGGUGCAUCUAUACGGCGGCUGGGGGCAUGAAUGGCAGCUGAUGUAGACGUACCAGCGCCAGCUUUAAUCUGACUUGCUCAAUAAAAAACAGCAGCACAGGCUUCAGUGCGCGUUGCACAACCCCGUCUACCCCUCCCCCGCCCCCAGGCCUGUACUUGCUGGUGCAGCCCAUGGCACGACGUCAGCUGUGACUGCACCCUGAGUUCUGUUCUCCACGUUAGCGAGUAGGGGACUUACAGCAGCCUGAUACAGCCUGAACACUGUGGCCACCUUCCAGAAAUAAAGGCAGCUUCAGGAAGCAGUUCCUUUUAGCCUUCAUGUCAUCUCACUGCCCCAUAGCAAAUAAUCCCUGUCCUAUUAUUGGGCACCAGGUUUGAUGGUGCACCGGGCACCAGGAUGUAAUUAAAAUCAUACACUCAUAUUACCUAUUGUGGGUUAUAAUCUAAUACACAAUAGAUUUUUAAUUGGAGAGGGUCAGAUCCUCGUCUCUCACCAGAUGUAUUGUGCAGAUUUACUCCUCAUUUUCCCCAGUACAACAUGAGGUCAGAAUCAGAUUCUUUUUUCCAGUGAACUUCAGAAAGGGGGCUCUAACUGAACUGGUCUUUGGUUCAAGCAAUGGCUUUUGAAACUGCUCUCUCCCCACUGACUCACAAGAUGGGACAGUGCUCUGAAGUGAGUGGGGCACUCCAGAUGGGGUUUGCCCCAAGCAGAAUUUAUGACAUUUAAAUAUCGCCAAUGACGACUGGAAGCGGCCAGCUCAUAUCUAUAAUAAGGCUAGUCACUGAACCUGGAGCGUACAAAUGAAGCGCUGUGUUUGCACUCUGGUUUUGCAUAAAGCCUAGUGCCGCUUUGAAAGGUGACUUUGCAAAAAUGCUCCAUGCUCACUAUGUCUCACUGUCCUUCCUUGGGAGAGGGAUAGCUCAGUGGUUUGAGCAUUGGCCUGCUAACUCUAGGGUGGUUGUAAGUUCAGUUCUUAGGGAACUGGGGUAAAAAUUUGUCUGGGGAUUGGUUCUGCUUUGAGCAGGGGGUUGGACUACAUGACCUCCUGAGGUCCCUUCCAACCCUGAUAUUCUAUUAUUUCAAUUGUGCUCAGUUUAAAGUAAGAAAAUGUUUCUUUGAAAGUCAGUCUGGUUUCUUUCAUCCCACACACCAUCACCCAUGCCAAAGGUUCAAAAAGUGCUCAGGGACAACUGUGCACCCCCAUUGUCCUCAAAGGAUGUCUCGUGAUAUCUGUGCAGUCCCAUUGCCUUUGCUGGGUUUACACAGGUCUGGAUGAUUGGAACUUGGCAAACAUUUGUGUUGACGGUGCAUGAGAUGGAAUAGAAUCCUGCGUUUUAUCUGUGCUGGCUCUGCAGGGCUAGCAGGUCUGAGACUCAGCCAGCACUAGCUUCAGCGGCUGUGACCCUGAAGAAGCAAAUGGAACAGAUCUGCCGAGUAAGGCGGUGCCAUUUUUUCCACCGUCACUUUUCAGAGUGGUAAUGUACUUCAAAUGCUUUGUCUGCGGAUCUGGUAGACACUGCAGAACUCUGUGAAGAACAUGGCUAAGAAACUGGUUGAGACAGUUUAGUACAUGGAACACUGCUGCUCUCCCCACCCGUAGCCUUCAUGGGGCUUUAGAAAUCACUCACUCAAUCUUUGCUGGAUUAGGUUGAAGCCUUCAUGUCAAGUAAGCACUUCAGCACUGGUGUCCAGACGAGUCUUCUGUGCCUGAAACAUGUGAAUGGGAAACGGUGGCUCAUACUGGUUGCAUUCCAUUAGCUGCUGGGAUUGCUAAUGUGGAUGUCGUGGGUAAAAACCUCACUUCCGUGGGCAGCUUACCCACGAAAGCUUAUGCCCAAAUAAAUCUGUUAGUCUUUAAGGUG